GCUCUGUUAUAUGCUGGCCCAAGGAACACCUCUUGCUUUACUUUGCCAUUUUUUUCAACUCCAGGGCUUUUGCACUGAACUACAUCUCCAAUCCUUAAAAAAACAAAACAAAACAAAACUUUCAUUUGCCCAAAGUGAUCUGAGGAUGAUUUUUCAAAAGUCUCCAGCACAGAGCUCGGCUUUGUUCUGAUUUUUUUCCCCAACAGUAGAUGUUCUCACACUCAGUCUCCCCUUGCAUGGAGAAUAUCGAGGAGACCAUGGAGCUACCGAGCGCCUCUGACUAUGGGCUGACAUCCCCGGGGGGUAUCGCAGCCCGCCCCCCAGAGCCCCUCGUGUUCCAUGACUGUCUUCCCAGCUCUUUCCUCAGUGCCUGGGCCUCACUGCGGCAUUGUCCCUUCUUUACAGUCCGUCCGGUUCCUGCCUUGGUCUACUGCCUGGUGUCUGACAUCCUGCUAGGCUCUUGUGGUGCCGCUCCACCCCUCCACCGUGCACCAUCGUGUCCUCCGCUCGACCUGCUGUUGUUCUGUCCCCUGCUCAUCCUGCUCCUCUCACUGGAGGAUUAUGGGUGAUCAUAUCCCAACAGCAAGAGGUGAUGGAGGAGCUAUCAUCUGCAGAGGAGAAGGAGCAAAGGGCUGAGUAAUCCCUCACUUCCAAUGAGAUUAGGGAUAUGUGUAAAAUGGGGGAAACAGUGCCAAAUUGUAUGGAAAACACCACCUGAAUAAGGCCGCAGCAGUGUAAGUGAUGAAUUGGUUUAACAACAAUGCAGUGUCACAUUUCUUCAAGACCCUCAAAAAGAGGCAAAAGCAAAUCUCCUUGGAUAGGUUCCUUGUUACAGUUGUAUGAAAAGCAAGAGUCCCUUGAGCCAGUAGAUAGCAGUGAUUCUGUUACUGACAGUGACAGCAUCCUUCACAUAACCCUUCUCUUGUCUCCCUCACAUUAGCCAUGAAGGUUUUCAAAGGUAAAUGUAGGUGAGUUUAUUUUUCUUUAUAUUUUGUAUCUUCUUUAUUAUUUUGUAUUAUAUCACAGUAUUGUAAGUAUUGUAAUCAUUUUUACAUGGAUACCUUUUGGGCUGUGAAAUGAAUCAUCUGAGUUUCCAUUAUUUCUUAAGAGGAAAUUUGCUUUGCUAACAAGUGCUUUGGAUUGCAAGCAUAUGUCUUCAAUUAAUUAUGUGUGCAAACCAAGGUUUUACUGUAUUAGAAAGGAAGAAAGUCUCAAGUGAAUAAUUUAAACUCUGUCCUGAAGAACCUAGAAAGAGGAGAGCAAAAUAAAC
rnacentral:lncRNA from 1 species